GAUGAAGAACGUAGCGAAAUGCGAUAAGUAAUGUGAAUUGCAGAAUUCAGUGAAUCAUCGAAUCUUUGAACGCAUCUUGCGCUCCUUGGUAUUCUGAGGAGCAUGCCUGUUUGAGUGUCAUUAAAUUCUCAACUACACUGACUUUGAAUUGGUGUGGCUUGGAUUUGGGGGGAAAAUUGUUGUGGGCUUUUUGUAUAGUCUGCUCCCCUGAAAUUGAUUAGCGGUACCUUUGUGGAACGGUCUACAGGUGUGAUAAUUAUCUACAUCUUAGACAUCUGCUGGAAUGCUGCUUUCUAAACCUUACUUGUAUUGACAAUCUUGACCUCAAAUCAGGUAGGACUACCCGCUGAACUUAAGCAUAUCAAUAAGCGGAGGA
rnacentral:misc_RNA from 1 species